UACGUAGGGUGCAAGCGUUAAUCGGAAUUACUGGGCGUAAAGCGUGCGCAGGCGGUUAUGUAAGACAGGUGUGAAAUCCCCGAGCUCAACUCGGGAACUGCGUCCGAUACUGGCGGGCUUGAAUCCGGGAGAGGGAUGCGGAAUUCCAGGUGUAGCGGUGAAAUGCGUAGAUAUCUGGAGGAACACCGGUGGCGAAGGCGGCAUCCUGGACCGGCAUUGACGCUGAGGCGCGAAAGCUAGGGGAGCAAAGCGGG
rnacentral:rRNA from 1 species